rnacentral:rRNA from 1 species
UACAGGGGGGGCAAGCGUUGUUCGGAAUUACUGGGCGUAAAGAGCUCGUAGGCGGCCGGUUGCGUCUGCUGUGAAAUCCCGGGGCUUAACCCCGGGCGUGCAGUGGAUACGGGCCGGCUGGAGGCAGGCAGGGGAGAAUGGAAUUCCCGGUGUAGCGGUGAAAUGCGCAGAUAUCGGGAGGAACACCGGUGGCGAAGGCGGCUCUCUGGGACGGUACUGACGCUGAGACGCGAAAGCGUGGGGAGCGAACAGG